GCCUUGCGCCGGCAUGGUUCAUUCAAAUUUCUGCCCUAUCAACUUUCGAUGGUAGGAUAGUGGCCUACCAUGGUGGCAACGGGUAACGGGGAAUUAGGGUUCGAUUCCGGAGAGGGAGCCUGAGAAACGGCUACCACAUCCAAGGAAGGCAGCAGGCGCGCAAAUUACCCAAUCCCGAUACGGGGAGGUAGUGACAAUAAAUACUGAUACGGGGCUCUUUUGGGUCUCGUAAUUGGAAUGAGAACAAUUUAAAUCCCUUAACGAGGAACAAUUGGAGGGCAAGUCUGGUGCCAGCAGCCGCGGUAAUUCCAGCUCCAAUAGCGUAUAUGAAAGUUGUUGCAGUUAAAAAGCUCGUAGUUGAACCUUGGGUCUGGCUGGCCGGUCCGCCUCACCGCGAGUACUGUCCGGCUGGACCUUUCCUUCUGGGGAACCUCAUGGCCUUCACUGGCUGUGGGGGGAACCAGGACUUUUACUGUGAAAAAAUUAGAGUGUUCAAAGCAGGCCUUUGCUCGAAUACAUUAGCAUGGAAUAAUAGAAUAGGACGUGCGGUUCUAUUUUGUUGGUUUCUAGGACCGCCGUAAUGA
rnacentral:rRNA from 1 species